CACACACAGGAGUAUAAACCCUCUUCCAGAGAUCUCCAUCCGUCUUCAGGUGGCGAAUCAAGUGCUUUAGGAGAUUGCUGCCCAAGAUGAGGUCAUCACUCUGGCCUACCAGUGUAGGUAGGCACAGCAACUCUACAUCCGUACACCUCCAUCUCCAGCUCACAUACUCCCAAAGGCCUCGUCUUCAACCCACCACAACCAACCAAGACUACCUCUGUAGGACUCAAUGAUGGACUUUUCAACACUCCUGCAUGCAACAGUUCAGGUAAGACCCUAGAGCGCAAGGUACAAGCCAUGGAUCCACUGUCAAGUAUAGCUCUCACUUCUACUUCUCCUCCUAUUAACACCUUGGCAUAGAAUAAAUCAUCAUACAGGGAAAGUCUCUGUGUGUUCUGCAUUAUGAUACUCUUCUCAGUCUCCAUUUCGUCACAAACACUUUUAUAUACAGACUCCAAAUCAACACCUCUCACUGAUGGGGACUCUACAAAAGGCCCAACACUCUCCCCUUCUACAUGCAGGCUUACUAGUUUUCCGGGAGCUGAGCAGUGAUUACUGUAGGGACUCCACCAGCUGUGCUCAGAGCUGCGACCUUGGGGCACUGAGAGCGUGCGUGGCCAGCUACAUGACAAAGAAAGCAGAGGUGAUUGGCCCUGCAGUGAAAGUAAGUAUCAUGUCCAGCAUCCCCGCACACGUUACAUGGCCCAUUAGACUUCACUUUGCUCCUAUUCCCUUUUUGUAACUUAUGGUCAGACUGUUGUGGACCCUGCUCCAGCACACGCUCCAGCAUUGCAAGGAUACGUUCCAUCGGCUCAGCUGAGCCCUGAAUAGUCUGGGCUGGGUAAGGCAAUGGAUUGGGUACUUCCAUGUUUGUUCUCACAGCAGGCAUGGUGAUCGGCAUGACAGCACCAACUUCCUGCUUCAUUGUUGCGAUGGCUGGGGUCAACUUAGAUAAGUGAAAGUACCUCCGCUCCCUCCUGUAUUCAUCCAGCCUCUCAUGAACAUCUGCAGCAGUCCACUGCUGUAAUGGCUUGCACUUAAAGACAGUUCAGCAUUAGGGCAAUGUCUGAUAAACAUGACUGUGAGCUCACGAGAUGGGUCUUCAACACUUUUUUCCUGUCUCUUUAGACAAUCUUCAGCAACCUCCAUAGCCCUGUUCAGUCUGAGCCAAUAUUAAAAUGGUUGUUCAUCAGUCAGAGGUAAUGUGGCAUAAAAGUCAGCAAGGGGCAUGCUUGAAAAAACAGUGUCACUAAAAUGUUGUUUCAGAAUGUCAAAGAUGGGACUCGGGCCUUUGGAUAAAUCAAUGGAGGGAUUGGCUGCGUAUGCCAACUUUAACAACAUCGCGGGCCCUUCCCAUAAGCCUGCCCAUAACCUCAACUGCUUGGUCCAUCACAGACACGCCCCUCUUACGCAUGUAAACUAUUACCAUAUCCUCCCACUCAUGCACUGUGCACUUUUCAGAGCCAUCCCCCACAAAAGUACACCGGUUCCCUGAUAUCAGACUUCAUUACCAGGUUCAGGCCUGAUACAUCCAUACCCCUCGAGCUGCAUACACUCCCUAUAACAUUGUCCCCAACAUGUCCAACAACUGCCUUUGACUCCAAACAGGAGGCAAAUGUUCUCCCCAAUGGAAUGACCAAUCUGCUGUACUAUGUCUGCUAUGAAAUCCAUGGAGACCUCCACACUCCAUGUAUUUGGCAAAACUCUUUCAUACACAUUCUUGGAGGUGUCCAUGGGUAACCUAUCAUCAAAACCCUCCAGUUUGGGCAUAGGUGUAGAAGUAACUGGAAUUUUGGCUGAAUCCCUACCAACAGAUGGUGACAGAUUAAAUGACAGGAAACCCCUACCUCGCCCAACACCUUCCAUUUUAACAUUGGGAAAUCAACACCCUAAUAAAAAUGUAAAACAUAUAUAUUUUAACCUUACGUCAAAAUCUAACCUAUAUCUAGUACACUGGUAAAACUCACCCUACUUAUAUCAGAUAUACAUCAGAAUUGCAAAUAAACAAGUAACACAAAAGUUAUCCUUUAUCUGUGAAGAGCCACAGCCAGAGAAAUCAUCAAUUGCGAUAAUAAAAAGGUUCUAGUGGCGCCAUCUUGUGGCGAAAUGCGAUAUCGCCAUGAACUGCACCAGCAACGUCUUAUCUGAUUCUUCAACAGCAACCAUGGCGAAGUUCUGAGAUGGAAAUCCAGCGAAGGAUGAUCCGAUCCAGAAGAACGGUCACGGCACCACUGUAACAGUACACUUCUUGAGUUGUGUACAAUCAGUCAUCGACACGGAACCCCAAUAUGUAGCACCAGUCAUGUAGCUUUAUUCUGUUAGGAACGGCACAAAAUUGCACGUCAUGCAAUGCACGUCUCACCAUCCAACUCUGCACUCACGCACGCUGGUUUGGUGCUUGUUCACUGGGCUAGUUACCAAAAUAAUACAAUUACAAUAUACAAUAUAAUAUCUUUAACAAUGUACCUGUAGGAACGGCACAAAAUUGCACGUCAUGCAAUGCACGUCUCACCAUCCAACUCUGCACUCACGCACUGUAUAAAAUAUAUGAACCCCCCCCCCACCAGACACAGUAAGUUGCUAGCUAGUACUGGCGGGAAUUCUUUACAACAAAAUGCACAACAAAUAUUCUCCAAAAACCGCUGCAUCUUAUAUGUGAUGUUCGAAUAACAUUUACAAACAAUUUGAUAUAAAUUGUACAUUUAAAUCAUCACUUGAGAGUAUAAGAAUCACUUUUGAUGUACAGUGCUUGGCAACCAACAACUUACCGCUGGUUUGGUGCUUGUUCACUGGGACGAUUCUAACUGGAACAUCCCCCCUCGUAAGCAAGCUACGCAAACCAGCCAAUAAGAUGCCAUGAUGAGUAGGUGAAGGCAAGACAAACUCAAACCAAAAACCCAUUGGCUUAACAAUAAAGUGGCAAGGGGAAUCACCAAUAUUACCCUGUUACAUAAGGUUAGGUUUAAAAUCACAUUUUAAGAAGACCAAUUGUAGAAAUAGUCGGCCUAUAUGACUUUGGCUGUAACUAGCGACGACCUAGAAUUAUCUUGACCGAGUUACUGCCCUGAUGACACAGACGGCUUCAUCAACAACGGUAAUAUGUGUUAUGUGAAAAGUUGUAUACAAAAUAAAUAUAUCCAGUUUGAAAAACUCGUAUUUGAAUUACCCAGCCAAGCAGAUACAAGUAGCAGAGUAAUUUUGGUUGUGAAGUACAUUUUCAAAUAACUUAGUCCUUUCUUUAUAACAAUGAAAUGUGUUACUUUGCUGUCUAUUGUAUCACGCUGUCCCAGACCCUACCAGUCAACACCACCUCGUAAGAUGACGAAGUACAUUGCCUGCUGCAGUUGUUCGAGAGAUGUCCAGUUUCAUGCAACAUAGAAAAGACCAGCAAGGGGACCCUGAAACACACAGACAUGCCCUUCCUGUGAGCAUUCCUAUAAAUGGAACAGUGGGGACACUUGAAUCAGUAUCUUUGAGGGGCCAGGAACUCAUCUACGCUGCCAAGCCCAUCAAUGGGGCGCUGGCAAAGAACUUACCUCCAGCCUCACUUCUUGCCUGCUUACUAACGGUCGUCAAUGGAGAGAUGCAUCUAUUGACCCAGCACUAGGAGACUUGCAAGAUGAUGUGAUGAAGUCCAGACUGACAUACGGGCUCUAAAUGGAGAGAGACCUGGUACUUGGCAUGAACAUUUUACUAGACAACUUUUACUUGCUGUCUUUUUUUAUUAUUGAACUGAAUGGAAUCAGUCAAUAUGGGGAGGGAGAAACCCAGUGUAUUCUGCACCAGGAUCAGGUAACUCCUGGUGUAUACAGGACACCAUAUAGGAAGGUAUGACCACUCUGACAUGUUUACCAAGGUAGCCCAAUUAUCACCAGACAAAAUGUUGAUAGGCACAGUAUCUGUAUCGGCAGGGAAUGACAAUGAAUGAUGAAAGGUGCACAUUGUUAUAUCAGCAGAACACUGAUUCUAUGGUUUUAUGUAAAGGGUUUUUUAUUCUACAUGGACCUGUUACUACAUUUGAAUGUUAUCAAAACACUUGGUUUAGAAUAUCUACACACAUUAUUUUUAUUUACCUUUAUUUAACUUGGCAGUCUUAUUUACAAUGACGGCCUACCAAAAUGCCUCCUGCGGGGAAGGAGGCUGGAAUUAUUAUUAUUAUUAUUAUUUUUAAUUCAACACGCAUCACGACAAGAGAGACAACACUACAUAAAGCGAGACCUAAGACAACCACAUAGCAUGGCAGCAACACAUGACAAGAAAGCAUGGUAGCAACACAACAUGACAACAACAUGGUAUCAACACAGCAUUUCAGCAGCACAACAUGGUAGCAGCACAAAACAAGGUACAAACAUUAUUGGGCACAGACAACAGCACAAAGGGCAAGAAGGUAGAGACAACAAUACAUCACGCAAAGCAGCCACAACUGCCAGUAAGAGUGUCCAUGAUUGAGUCUUUGAAUGAAGAGAUUGAGAUAAAACUGUCCAGUUUGAGUGUUUGUUGCAGCUUGUUCCAGUCGCUAGCUGCAGCAAACUGAAAAGACGAGCAACUCACGGAUGUGUGUGCUUUGGGGACCUUGGUAGAACGGGUAUUGUAUGUGGAGGAUGAGGGCUGCAUUAGACAUCUCAGAUGGGGCGGGGGAGUGAGGUCUAAGGGUUUUAUAAAUAAGCAUCAACCAGUGGGUCUUGCGACGGGUAUACAGAGAUGACCAGUUUACAGAAGAGUAUAGAGUGCAGUGAUGUGUCCUAUAUGGAGCAUUGGAUAAGGAGCAUUGGUGGCAAAUCUGAUGGCCGAAUGGUAAAGAACAUCUAGCCGCUCGAGAGCAUCCUUACCUGCCGAUCUAUAAAUUACAUUCCCGUAAUCUAGCAUGGGUAAGAUGGUCAUCUGAAUCAGGGUGAGUUUGGCAGCUGGGGUGAAAGAGGAACAAUUACGAUAGAAGAAACCAAAUCUAGAUUAACCUUAGCCUGCAGCUUUGAUAUGUGCUGAGAGAAGGACAGUGUACCAUCUAGCCAUACUCCCAAGUACUUAUAUGAGGUAACUACCUCAAGUUCUAAACCCGCGGAGGUAAUCAGGGGGGCAGCUGAGUAUAAGACCUGUAAAUUCAGCAAUUGCAUUCUUCUCAUAUUACUCUGUAGGCUACUAACCUAUUCAAAUAUUCCUCUCUGGCGUUUCUCACCAUACAUCUGCCUUUUGUUAUUGAACUCAACCUGCAGGAGGUUUGUUUGUUGUGAUUGAGUGGGGGGAAACCGCUGUGGGCAAGGUUCUGACAGAUGGGUGUGUCUUGGUGGCGGCAAGGACACCCCCAAGAAACACCCACAUCAAACCACACCCCCAAGCCAAAUCACAUUUGGCUUCUGUCAUGGCCGCCAGCAUUUCUUGAGGAGCAAGCCAAAAAACGAGUCCAAAUCAGCGGGUGCAGUUCCCCUUUAAGUUCUAUCAUUAGUCAUUCAAUUCUAUUACCUAAUAUAUUUUCAAAACAGCCUAAAUUACAUUCACUUUAGGGGCCCAAAUGUAAUUUGAUUGUUAAAAAUGUUGAAGGGGAUUCUCGUGUUUUGUUAUUGUUCAAACUCAUCAUUUUACAUUUUGAUACACACAGAGGCUGGAAGGCCUACUGUUGUGGGAGGCAGAAGGUGGCCCCAUCUUGUGGCAGUUAGUUCUAUGACCAUCAGACAGCAUGUGAGCUCAUUGUUUUUGUUAACCUGCUUGAUGAUGUACACUGAGUAUAACCCCCGAAAAGGUGUCAAAAGCGUUCCACAGGGAUGCUGGCCCAUGUUGGCUCCAAUGCUUCCCAGAGUUGUGUGAAGUUGGCUGGAUGUCCUUUGGGUGGUGGACUAUUCUUGAUACACAGAGGUCAGGUGUUGAGUGUGAAACAACCCAGCAGCGUUGCAAUUCCUGACACAAACCGGUGCACCUGGCACCUACUACGAUACCCAAUAAAUAUGGUGUCUUCCCCAUUCACCCUCAAUGGCACACAAGCCAUGUCUCAAUUUUCUCAAGCCUUAAAAUCCUUCUUUAACCUGUCUGUCUAAUCCCCUUCAUCUGCACUGAUUUGAAGUGGAUUUAACAAGUGACAUCAAUAAGGGAUCAUAGCAUUCACCUGGUCAGUCUAUGUCAUGGGAACAGCAGUUGUUCCUAAUGUUUUGUACACUCAGUGUAUAAUUUACACUUUACAAAUUGACUUUCUGUAAGUAAUUUAUAGUUAAAGAAAACUAGAAAUGACAAAAGCAGGGAAAGACUUCAGCCUGACCUGAAAAUACAGUAUUGUCACAAUCAAUUGAACAGGAAUGCAGACUUGCACAGGCCUACAUGUGACAAUACUUUACAGUCCUAAGGGAAUUGUAAAGCGAUAUAAAUGGUAUCCUUUCUCAAAUACUACUAUUACAACACUACAAUGACAUACAAUCAGUUUCACCUACAUACUCUCCCGCCCUGCUCCAGUUUAGCUCUCCAUAAAUGAGUGGGGAUUUUAAUUAAUUUCUGCUCAUGAUCUUGAUCUAAUUAAAGCCUUCGUCCCUGCCAUGUCAUUUUCAUAAGCUGCUCCCUCCAAUUACAUAUAACAACCUAGCCCAUUCAGAUAUUAACCUUCUGUGUGAAGUGUCUCUCCUUCCCUCGACUUAUCUACUUGCACAUUUAAAAAUAAUACAUCGGGAAACUCCAAGAUAAUUCCACCUUUUGUUUUGAAUUCCACGAUAGAGUUUAGCUAUUGUAUAACUUAUUUCCCAUUUUUCUCUGACAGACUCUUGUAGAUAAAAGAGAAGUUGGUGUGUCAAUUGUCCUGGUAUAUGUUCCAAACCUAGUAAAUAAAUGUCAUUUUUAAGAAAAACUCUCAAAUUGAUGACUCAGUCAAAUACCACUAGUUGUCAUUCUAGACAUGUUAACUACUGAUGUUGUGACCCUCUCUAACCCUGACUCUAUGAAACUGAAUGAAGUGAGGUCAACAAGGCCAGGGAAGAUAUGUCAAUUGUAGAUUCAAAAUUGACCCAAAAUAACUCCAGGCUAAAACCCUUGAACUGAGAGGAGUUAUUAUACUUCAAGGUUGACCUGAUUUAUCCAUGCACAAUACAUCAGAACUCCAUCCUUUGAGAGGAGCUAAGAUGACAUGGUGCCCCAUAACAAAAAAGCGUGUCUUAUCAUCCACUUUGUGAAAUAUUGAUUCUAAACACACAGACUUAAAUUUCGUGCUGGUUUUAAAAGUACCUCCACUUUGGUCCAGCAGCAGGGCUGGGGUCAGAUGCCAUGCAUGUUUCACUCUCCCAGCAGACCUCCGGGGGCCUGGGGGUUUCAAAGCUUAGUGAGGGUUCAGUGAGUGACUAAAGUGGCUGUAGCAGACCAUGGACAAACAAAGAAACAUUAUCCUGGGUCCCCAUCCACAUUAUUUAUGAAUGAUACACUUUCUCCUGGUUUUGGAAUGUGUGAGAUUUGAUUUCAGUGAACACAUGAUCAUUUAGACAUAAUGUUGUACUUCACUAUCAGCAACCUCAGGACCAAACUACUAUUAUAACAAAUAGACGCAAGUGUGAAGGUUCAGUGUUGUAGUGAACAUGAGAUAUGACCAGUAAUUCUUAACAGUGGCUAUAAUGUGACAACUUGGUGAGGUACUGCAGUAAAUGAGUCUGAGAAAAAAAUUAUGCCUCUGAGAAAUGCAGCGCUGCCUCUUGGAAGAGCUACAAACAUGGAGUUUGUCGUCAUUAUGUUAAACCUGGUUAAUACACUGUGUGUGUCUGAGUGUCCUACCACAGCGCCCUUCCAGCCCAAGCCACAAUUUACUAGGAAAACAAUCUUCAGUUGGAGGGUGUUGUCUGUUGUGGGUCUGCACUUUAUACAAGUCCUCCCUGUGUCUAGAAUUAAUUACAUUUCGUUAUCUGGGAAAAAAACGUGAGAAAAAGAAAGAAUGGGACUGGAAGGCAAGUAAUGGUUGCUACACA